rnacentral:rRNA from 1 species
CGGGAUUGCCCCGGGCGCCUCGCGUGCCCCGGAUCAGGCGCCCGCCUAGGAACUUUAACUCUUGUUUUAUUUUGAAUCUUCUGAGUAGUUUUUACAAAUAAAUAAAAACUUUCAACAACGGAUCUCUUGGUUCUGGCAUCGAUGAAGAACGCAGCGAAAUGCGAUAAGUAAUGUGAAUUGCAGAAUUCAGUGAAUCAUCGAAUCUUUGAACGCACAUUGCGCCCGCCAGUAUUCUGGCGGGCAUGCCUGUCUGAGCGUCAUUUCAACCCUCAUGCCCCUAGGGCGUGGUGUUGGGGAUCGGCCAAAGCCCGCGAGGGACGGCCGGCCCCUAAAUCUAGUGGCGGACCCGUCGUGGCCUCCUCUGCGAAGUAGUGAUAUUCCGCAUCGGAGAGCGAUGAGCCCCUGCCGUUAAACCCCCAACUUUCCAAGGUUGACCUCAGAUCAGGUAGGAAUACCCGCUGAACUUAAGCAUAUCAAUAAGCGGAGGAAAAGAAACCAACAGGGAUUGCCCUAGUAACGGCGAGUGAAGCGGCAACAGCUCAAAUUUGAAAUCUGGCGCAAGCCCGAGUUGUAAUUUGUAGAGGAUGUUUCUGGCGACGUGCCUUCCGAGUUCCCUGGAACGGGACGCCAUAGAGGGUGAGAGCCCCGUACGGUUGGAUGCCUAGCCUCUGUGA